rnacentral:rRNA from 1 species
CCUACGGGUGGCAGCAGUGAGGAAUAUUGGUCAAUGGACGAAAGUCUGAACCAGCCACGCCGCGUGAAGGAAGAAGGCUCUAUGUAUUUUAAACUCCUUUUGUACGGGGGUAAACUCCGGUACGCGACUCUGACUGCGCGUCUCUUACGAAUAAGGCUCGGCUAACUCCGUGCCAGCAGCCGCGGUAAUCCGGAGGGUUCAAGCGUUAUCCGGAUUUAUUGGGUUUAAAGGGUGCGUAGGCGGACGGUUAAGUUUGAGGUGAAAGCCCGGGGCUCAACUCCGGAACUGCCUUGGAUACUGAGCGGCUAGAGAGUAGGAGAGGUAGGCGGAAUGCAUGGUGUAGCGGUGAAAUGCGUAGAGAUUAUACAGAACACCGAUGGCGAAGGCAGCUUACCGGGCUAGAUCUGACGUUGAGGCACGAAAGCGUGGGGAGCAAACAGGAUUAGAUACCCGAGUAGUC